rnacentral:lncRNA from 1 species
UCAAAAAUCGAAUGAGAGAGAACGCAGAGAAGAGGGAAAAAACCAAGGAAAAAGGGAAGAAAAGAAAAGGAAAGGAAGGAAAAAGAAGAAAUCUUGUGCCAACUACUUCAAUCUUGUUUAUUUAAUUCUUCAAGAGGUAAGGUUAAUAAUUUAUGGUCUAGUUUUUGUAAAUUUUUGUUUAGAGUUUUAAAUUUAUAGCUUAUACUUGAAAAAUAUGAUAAGGAAGCUAACUAUUUGAGUAUUUGGAGCUAGUUAUUCUAGUGGAUUGGAAGAAAUGAUAUUUAGAUAUUAGGGUUUUGUUAUAUGUGGGUUAAUCCGAAAAUUUGAGGAAAAAUAUGCAUUCUUGUUAUUUUCCCUUGUGAUUGUUGUAUGGUAUUAUUAAGUUAGAUUGGUUGAAAAUAACUUAUCUUAUGCUUGAGUUCUCACUUUGGAUGAAUAUGGAGAAUAUAAGAAAGGAGCUUUUGAUAAGAUUUAUGUAUUUAGUUAAAAGAGAAUUUAAAUAAGGAAUGUGGAUGAUUAUUAUCAUGAAAAGCUUGUUGAAUCUUCAUGGGCAGCCGAGAAAGGUUAGUAUUAACGAGUGAAGGAUGUAGAGUGAUACGAAAUUAAGUGAACGUAUGUUUAAGUAACCAAAUGAAAUAUAAAUAUUAAGUCUCAACUUAUUGCUUAUUGAGGGAUAUAUAUUUUAUUUUGAUGAUAAGAAGGGGUUAUUAUUGAGAAAUCCCUUGUAACUGUAUAUAGAUGGAAUUGAAGUGACUUAUAUUUAUGAUCGUUUCAAGAGGAGAUUUGAACGUGGGAACAACAUAUCAGCCCCGUUAGUCCAGCCUAUAUCUGUGAGUGGAGAAUCUAUAUUUUCAAAAAGAAGAUUUUCUUUUUAUUUAAUAGAAGCAUGUUAAUUACAUGAAAUGCUUUAUUUUUGAGAAUUAGUAAAUGAGCAUGAUUGUUUUGAAAUUAUCAUAAAAUAAUUGAUGUGAUUAUCUUACUCUAGUGCACUAAGGGGCUACGGCCGUGUACUAGAGUCAUGUAUUUAACUCUUAUCCAUUGAGGGGCUACAGUCGUGGGUAAAGGUAUCCAAUAUACACUGAGGAGCUACAGCCGUGUGUAAGGGUAACUCUUAUCCACUGAGGGGCUACAGUCAUGUAUGAAGAUGAUUAUGUUGUUUCCAUCUUGUACGCUAAGGGGCUACGGUCGUGUACAGAAUAUUGAUCAGACGGUUUAUGUACAUAUGAUUUAUAUCUUUCAGAUCAUUAGUUACAUGGGAUAUAUUUUGAUGUGAAUUUUAAUUAUAUAGUGGAUUAUUAGUCUUCAACUUACAUUUUCCUGUUUACAGAUUAGCUUGUGGACUUUAGAUUAUGGUUUUAGUAUCUAAUGUACUUACUCAUCUAGAUACACACACACAUAAAGGACAAUACAACCAUCUUUUAAGCACUUUACUCAUUGGGAUUAUUAUCUCAUAUUUUUCCUAACUUUUUCUUAUAGGAGGCUUUGACUGAGCUGUGGUGGAGAUUAUUUUGAUAGUUUUGCAACCAUUGUUACCACCAAUUGUAGGUUCUUUUGUUUGAAAUUGUGUAAUCAUCAAGUGAAAUAUUUGCAUCAUAUUGGAGGAUUUUUUUUUUUGUAUUUAUAUGCACCAAUGAUCAUGAUGGAAUAUUGUAAUCUAAACUGCCUUCUAUUAUCCUUUUGAGAGGCAGUUUUGAUGAAAAUGAUAUGGAUGUUUUUGGCUAAACGAG